rnacentral:misc_RNA from 1 species
GAUGAAGAACGUAGCGAAAUGCGAUACGUAAUGUGAAUUGCAGAAUUCAGUGAAUCAUCGAGUCUUUGAACGCACAUUGCGCCCCCUGGUAUUCCGGGGGGCAUGCCUGUCCGAGCGUCAUUGCUGCCCUCAAGCACGGCUUGUGUGUUGGGCCUCCGCCCCCCGGCUCCCGGGGGGCGGGCCCGAAAGGCAGCGGCGGCACCGCGUCCGGUCCUCGAGCGUAUGGGGCUUCGUCACCCGCUCCGUAGGCCCGGCCGGCGCCCGCCGGCGACCCCCCUCAAUCUUUCCGGGUUGACCUCGGAUCAGGUAGGGAUACCCGCUGAACUUAAGCAUAUCAAUAAGCGGAGGA